GGCAAAUCAGACUCGUCGCCACUCAUCACAGAGGAAGACCACCUUACUCCACACCACAGUAUGAAGGAGGGCUUGCACCAACUUCCAAAAACCCAAAUUGAUGCCUGUCCCGUUAUUGUCGGCCAUUUCAGUGAUGAUGAAUCUGAACGUCAGUCUUAAACAGAAACUAGAGCUCUGAUGG